CCUACGGGGGGCAGCAGUGGGGAAUAUUGGACAAUGGGCGAAAGCCUGAUCCAGCCAUGCCGCGUGUGUGAAGAAGGCCUUCGGGUUGUAAAGCACUUUCAGUGGGGAAGAAAGCCUUGGGGCUAAUACCCUCGAGGAAGGACAUCACCCACAGAAGAAGCACCGGCUAACUCCGUGCCAGCAGCCGCGGUAAUACGGAGGGUGCGAGCGUUAAUCGGAAUUACUGGGCGUAAAGUGCGCGUAGGCGGUCUGAUAAGCCGGUUGUGAAAGCCCCGGGCUCAACCUGGGAACGGCAUCCGGAACUGUCAGGCUAGAGUGCAGGAGAGGAAGGUAGAAUUCCCGGUGUAGCGGUGAAAUGCGUAGAGAUCGGGAGGAAUACCAGUGGCGAAGGCGGCCUUCUGGACUGACACUGACGCUGAGGUGCGAAAGCGUGGGUAGCAAACAGGAUUAGAUACCCUUGUAGUC
rnacentral:rRNA from 1 species